rnacentral:rRNA from 1 species
GCAUAUCAAUAAGCGGAGGAAAAGAAACCAACAGGGAUUACCUUAGUAACGGCGAGUGAAGCGGUAAUAGCUCAAAUUUGAAAUCUGGCUCUAGGGUCCGAGUUGUAAUUUGUAGAGGAUGUUUCGGGUGCGCCCGCAGUUUAAGUUCCUUGGAACAGGACGUCAUAGAGGGUGAGAAUCCCGUCUUGAACUGUACGGCAAGUCCAUGUGAAACUCCUUCGACGAGUCGAGUUGUUUGGGAAUGCAGCUCAAAAUGGGAGGUAAAUUUCUUCUAAAGCUAAAUAUUGGCCAGAGACCGAUAGCGCACAAGUAGAGUGAUCGAAAGAUGAAAAGCACUUUGAAAAGAGAGUUAAACAGUAUGUGAAAUUGUUAAAAGGGAAGCGUUUGCAACCAGACUUGUUUCUAACAGUUCUACCGCAGUUCUCUGUGGCUUAUUCUGUUAGUCCAGGCCAGCAUCAGUUUGGGUGGCUCGUUAAAGACUUUGGGAAUGUAUCUACUCCUUCGGGUGUAGACUUAUAGCCCAUUGUGUAAUAGGGUCUACCUGGACUGAGGUACGCGCAUUGCUCGGAUGCUGGCGUAAUGGUUGUAAACGACCCGUCUUGAAACACGGACCAAGGAGUCUAACAUCUAUGCGAGUGUUAGGGUGUCAAACCCUUACGCGUAAUGAAAGUGAACGGAGGUAGGAACCCGCAAGGGUGCACUAUCGACCGAUCCUGAUGUCUUCGGAUGGAUUUGAGUAAGAGCAUAGCUGUUGGGACCCGAAAGAUGGUGAACUAUGCCUGAAUAGGGUGAAGCCAGAGGAAACUCUGGUGGAGGCUCGCAGCGGUUCUGACGUGCAAAUCGAUCGUCAAAUUUGGGUAUAGGGGCGAAAGACUAAUCGAACCAUCUGGUAGCUGGUUCCUGCCGA